rnacentral:rRNA from 1 species
AACGAACGCUGGCGGCGCGUUUUAAGCAUGCAAGUCGAGCGGUAGCAGGGCUUCGGUUCUGUGAGAGCGGCGAACGGGUGAGUAACACGUGGGUGACCUGCCCGGGAAUUGGGGAUAGCCUGUGGAAACACAGGGUAAUACCGAAUGAGCUCCGACCCCUGUGGGGGACGGAGGAAAGGCGCGUAUGCGCCGUUCCCGGAUGGGCCCGCGGCCUAUUAGCUAGUUGGCGGGGUAAAGGCCCACCAAGGCGACUAUGGGUAGCCGGCCUGAGAGGGUGAACGGCCACACUGGAACUGAGACACGGUCCAGACUCCUACGGGAGGCAGCAGCUAAGAAUCUUCCGCAAUGGGCGAAAGCCUGACGGAGCGACGCCGCGUGGGUGAAGAAGGCGGGGAACGUUGUAAAACCCUUUUCUUCGCGAGGAAUAAGGGGGGCAGGAAAUGGUCCUCUGAUGACGGUAGCGAAGGAAUAAGCCCCGGCCAAUUACGUGCCAGCACCCGCGGUAAACACGUAUGGGGGCGAGCGUUGUUCGGAAUCAUUGGGGCGUAAAGGGCGCGCAGGCGGUUGUGCAAGUCCGGUGUGAAAGACCACAGCUUAACUGUGGGGAACGCGCUGGAAACUGUAUGACUCGAGUUCAGGAGGGGAAGCUGGAAUUCCAGGUGUAGGGGGUGAAAUCUGUAGAUAUCUGGAAGAACAUCAGGUGGCGAAAGCGAGCUUCUGGCCAUGAACUGACGCUGAGAGCGCGAAAGCGUGGGGAGCGAACAGGAUUAGAUACCCUGGUAGUCCACGCCGUAAACGAUGUGCACUAGGUGUUGGGCCAUUACGGUUCAGUGCCGCAGCUAACGCGUUAAGUGCACCGCCCGGGGAGUAUGCCCGCAAGGGUGAAACUCAAAGGAAUUGACGGGGGCCCGCACAAGCGGUGGAGCAUGUGGUUUAAUUUGAUGAUACGCGAGGAACCUUACCAGGGCUUGACAUACACCGGAAGUCGUGAGAGAUCACGGUGCCCUUCGGGGCCGGUGUACAGGUGCUGCAUGGCGGUCGUCAGCUCGUGCCCUGAGGUGUUGGGUUAAGUCCCGCAACGAGCGCAACCCCUGCUGUCUGUUGCUACCAGGUGAAGAUGAGCACUCGGAGGGAACUGCCGGUGACAAACCGGAGGAAGGUGGGGAGGACGUCAAGUCAUCAUGGCCCUUAUGUCCUGGGCUACACACGCGCUACAAUGGCCGGUACAGAGUGAAGCCAAACCGCGAGGUGGAGCAAAUCGCAGAAAGCCGGUCUCAGUUCGGAUUGGAGUAUGAAACUCGACUCCAUGAAGGUGGAAUCGCUAGUAAUCGCGCAUCAGCAUGGCGCGGUGAAUACGUUCCCGGGCCUUGUACACACCGC